UGGGUUGUGGCUCAGGCGGUAAAGUGCCUGCCUGGCAUGCACAAGGCCCUAGGUUCAAUCCCUAGCACCACAU
rnacentral:tRNA from 1 species